rnacentral:tRNA from 1 species
GGAAAAUUAGUUUAUAUAAAAACCUUUAUUUGUCAAAUAAAAAUUACCUCUCGAGUAUUUUCA